rnacentral:rRNA from 1 species
AGAGUUUGAUCCUGGCUCAGGAUGAACGCUAGCGGCAGGCUUAACACAUGCAAGUCGAGGGGUAUAGGUUUUCGGACCUAGAGACCGGCGCACGGGUGCGUAACGCGUAUGCAAUCUACCUUUUACAGAGGGAUAGCCCAGAGAAAUUUGGAUUAAUACCUCAUAGUAUUAUUGAAUGGCAUCAUUUAAUAAUUAAAGUCACAACGGUAAAAGAUGAGCAUGCGUCCCAUUAGCUUGUUGGUAAGGUAACGGCUUACCAAGGCAACGAUGGGUAGGGGUCCUGAGAGGGAGAUCCCCCACACUGGUACUGAGACACGGACCAGACUCCUACGGGAGGCAGCAGUGAGGAAUAUUGGUCAAUGGGCGCAAGCCUGAACCAGCCAUGCCGCGUGCAGGAUGACGGUCCUAUGGAUUGUAAACUGCUUUUGUACAGGAAGAAACAUCUCUACGUGUAGAGACUUGACGGUACUGUAAGAAUAAGGAUCGGCUAACUCCGUGCCAGCAGCCGCGGUAAUACGGAGGAUCCAAGCGUUAUCCGGAAUCAUUGGGUUUAAAGGGUCCGUAGGCGGUUUUGUAAGUCAGUGGUGAAAGCCCAUCGCUCAACGGUGGAACGGCCAUUGAUACUGCAAGACUUGAAUUAUUAGGAAGUAACUAGAAUAUGUAGUGUAGCGGUGAAAUGCUUAGAGAUUACAUGGAAUACCAAUUGCGAAGGCAGGUUACUACUAAUAUAUUGACGCUGAUGGACGAAAGCGUGGGGAGCGAACAGGAUUAGAUACCCUAGUAGUCC